AUUGAACGCUGGCGGCAUGCCUUACACAUGCAAGUCGAACGGUAACAGGUUAAGCUGACGAGUGGCGAACGGGUGAGUAAUGUAACGGAACGUGCCCAGUCGUGGGGGAUAACUGCUCGAAAGAGCAGCUAAUACCGCAUACGACCUGAGGGUGAAAGCGGGGGAUCGCAAGACCUCGCGCGAUUGGAGCGGCCGAUAUCAGAUUAGGUAGUUGGUGAGGUAAAGGCUCACCAAGCCGACGAUCUGUAGCUGGUCUGAGAGGACGACCAGCCACACUGGGACUGAGACACGGCCCAGACUCCUACGGGAGGCAGCAGUGGGGAAUUUUGGACAAUGGGCGCAAGCCUGAUCCAGCCAUGCCGCGUGCGGGAAGAAGGCCUUCGGGUUGUAAACCGCUUUUGUCAGGGAAGAAAAGGUUCUGGCUAAUACCUGGGACUCAUGACGGUACCUGAAGAAUAAGCACCGGCUAACUACGUG
rnacentral:rRNA from 1 species